CGAGAGGGAGAUUUCGUCGAGCAGGGCUGUGAGCAGAAGUAACUCGAAACAAAGCGAUAGUCGUGCUUCCGCUGCUGCUCAUCCCUGGCUGUAAAUCACAAGAAAAAAAAAAUUGUAAAAAAAGUGAGAGAAACAAACAAAAAAAAAAACAAGUUUUGUUAGUUCGUAUCAACGAUAAUUCAUACCUCUUUUCGUCUCUGUGCGUGAUGUGCGUCAAAGCUUCCAACAAGAAGAAAAAAUAGAACUUUUGUCAGAGUGACUUGUUCUUCCUUGACUUCUUCAGGCUCACGAGCGUUCGCCCAGGGUCUUGGGCUCACGAGCCUUCGGUCCUUCUGGAAUGGCUGCUUGCAAAUCUAGUGAGCUGCUAGCACGGAACUACACGGGAGUACCUGGAUUGUUCGAUGUUCUUCCAGAUGGAUCCGUUAUAAGGUCCGAUAUCCUCUCUCCUUCCAUAGCUGCAAACUCGAGUAGCUUCACGCGAGAUGUGCUCGUAG
rnacentral:lncRNA from 1 species